AGCUGGAGAUGGGCAGAGAGGAACCAGGUAAGAUUCAACAAGAGCAAGUGCAGAGUCUUAUACCUAGUGUGGAAUAACAUCAGUGGAGGUUAGAUGCUGGCUUGCUCAAGAAGAAAGGCUGAGAGACCUGGGACCAUUCAUCCUGGAGAAGACUGAGGGGAGAUCCUAUAAAUGUUUACAAAAAUCUAAAUGGCAAAAGUCAAAUGGAUGGGGAUAGGCUCUUUUCAGUGGCGUGAAGCAGCAGGAAAAAGGGCAACAUAACAAGUUCCAUACAAACAUGAAGAAGAACUUCUUUACUUUGAGGUUUACAGAGCAGUGGAACAGACUGCCCAGAGUCUCCUUCUCUGGAGAUAUUCAAGACUUUCCUGGAAGCUUCCCUGUGCUAUCUCUUCUAGGGACCCUGCUUUAGCAAGGGGUUGGUCUUGAUGAUCUCCGGUUCUCUUGCAACCCCUAUGAUUCUGUGAUUCCUUACAGAGUUGCUAGAGAAUUCCCAAGCAGCCAACUGUGGCAACUCUCCACAGAAAAUAAUGCUUGAAGCAGUGCACUUCUUCAGAGCAGUUUGCCACCAGAGCCUUCCCUAAUAACUGGUGGGUCAUUGCCUCUUUACCUUGGAUCUUGUCCAUGCCUGUGAGUGAUUAACCUCCCUAGCUCACUCAGUGGCUUCAUCAUGAGCAGAUUUCCUGGUAAGCUUCGUAUUUUUUUUGUGCCUCUCAGGUAUUCUGAGUUUCCUGAUGGAGCCACUUUGGGCCUCCCAAUAGGAAGAAAGGUUCCUGCUCCCUGGACGCUGCCACUGAUGUUUGUUCACCUGACUCCCCACCCGUACCCACUGUAGCUAUGUGUUACCACAUUUCAUCGUGCUUUUUCUCCUGAAACACUGCCAAAUGCCACUUCACCUUUAUAGCCUGAAAAGGAAGUCAGGAAACUUGCACCAAACCUGAUCUAGACUUCCUGAGCCAAACUUUUGCAACCUGCUUAGAGGUCCUGAGUUGUGGUAGCCUGAAGGAAGGAGGUGUUAAGAUAACCUCUCCAACCCAGGAAUCCACUGGAUUCCCCCACUGCUGCAUGCCAGGAGAUGGGCUUUGCCUCUAAGCAUUAGUAACCCAAAGAAACAUUUUUUCCUCCAUUUUCUCUCUAAAAAUUGGUGUAAAUGAAAGCUAUUCAAAACGUAGGAAAACGAAGAGUAGCAAAGCUUAACUUUGUAGAGAUAUCAUUUAAAGGCAAAUGCAGUAAUGUUUGUGGGAUUCUCAGCCUCCGUGUUUUGGAGGUCAUGGCAGUGACAGGCAGCUGUCAGUUCAAGCACAGGGAAAUAAACUACCUGAAAAAUAUCAAAGUGAAUUGGUUACCUUCAGGUAAUUUGGAGAUGUGAGGCUUGUCUUGUCUCUUAGAUGUUGCCUGUCAAGUUUUUGUGAGGCUCUCAUGGCCUAGCUUACAACUUCAUGCUUGCACAACCCAGCUGUGGGGGCAAAGGGCAGCCAUGGGGUUGGCCCUGGGUGCAGGAGGUGCAGAGAUGGCCCUGCUUGGCGGGAACUGAGCAAGCAAGGGCAUCCCUAACCUAAACCUUAUAGGAAUAAGGUUUUGAACUGCUGAAACUUGAUUUCAGCAGUUUGAUUCAGCAGUAACAGGAACAAGCCUGAGAUAGCAGAUAACAGAUGUCCAAAUCAAACGCACUUGAAACCCUCAGAGAGAUGUUGGUCUGUCAUUAGAGCAAUGCUAGACUGUGGCCAGUGGGGACCUGAAUGUUAAUUUUCCCCUCCCAGUGGUCUGUAUUAUUUUAAAAUUUCCUCUAGCAAGCAUUCCAUUAAUGUGAUUUCCUCACACUACAUUUAGCUGAGAAAGUUCCAUCUCCUUUAUUAAAAAAUGAUUUUUCAAAUAAACUUAUUCCAGCAGAUUUUUGUUCUGAAGAUGAGGAUCUGAAUAAUGCUGGAGGAAAAAAAUUGCUGCCUUUUCUUUUUCUUUUUCUUUUUCUUUUUCUUGUUCUUGUUCUUGUUCUUGUUCUUGUUCUUGUUCUUGUUCUUGUUCUUGUUCUUUUUCUUUUCUUGUUAUUUUUCUUUUUCUUUUCUUUUUCUUUUUCUUUUUCUUUUUCUUUUUCUUUUUCUUUCUCUUUCUCUUUCUCUUUCUCUUUCUCUUUCUCUUUCUCUUUCUCUUUCUCUUUCUCUUUCUCUUUCUCUUUCUCUUUUUCUUUUUCUUUUUCUUUUUCUUUUUCUUUUUCUUUUUCUUUUUCUUUUUAUCUACAGAGUGCUGAUGGCCAGGACUCAUAAGGAACCAAGUGGUCUGACAUGGAGCAGCUCCCCACACAUCCAAUUUGACAAACCAAGAGGAGGCACAGCAUUUUAAGGCCAGCUUAUCUGGCCUAUGGCAGAUUCUCAGACAUAGUAAAAAACUGCAGCACCAUUAACUUCACUGGAGAUGGGUCUGCUUACAGCAGGUGGCACAGUGUGAAACGCAGUUGUCUGUCUAGGGAAGGAGGUGUGAAAUGUCAGAGGCAGGUCCUGACAAAUGACUUAUAUUUAACAGCAAAAGAGAAAUGGAACAAAGUCUCCAUUACUUUUUCAAUGCAAUUAACUGCUCUUCUACUAAUACCACAAAUCUGUUGCUCUGUGUCCUCCUACAAGCAGUAGAUACACACUCACACAGAUCACAAUUUACAGUGUGCUAAUAAUUUCUGAGGACUCUUCUCAGGAAAGUCUUACAGUAUUCCAUGCAUUCACAGGUUACAACAAAAUUAGGGCAAGGAUCCUGAAAUAUUCCUCCCAGAUGUUAAAAAGUCAAAGUGCCCCUGACGUUGGGAACAAAAGAGCUCAUGGCCUAUUUCCUGGGAAGCCCAAGACACCUACUGAACAGAGCAUCAGAGAGGUCUGAUGGGAUUUUGGUCAUGACUGUACCAUGCUCUGAUCUGAGGUGAUAAAGCUGAGGGCAUGUCGUAGGGGCAGCAAUCCCUGCCAGUGACUGCCAGCUGCUUGCCUGGUAGAUGACAGUGUCAUCUUGGCAACAAACCUUUUCUUUCUUUCUGAACUCUCUGACUCAGAUGAGCUCAUUUUUGCAGCUUUUUUCUUUUUAGGGGGAUGCCAUUCUCUAUGUCUUCUGCCACAUAGCAAAUGUCAUACCACUGAUUGAAAAACAAACCCUCCAGGCCUUUGUAACUGUUACCUUCGUAAUUUCUGGCUACCUUUUAGUUUUCUGAAGGCUGAGACUGUCCUGAGUGAUGUGGGAGUGGAAGGGAAGUUGGGAGCAUUUAUGGCAUGCUGCAGCUAGCAGACCCACAGCUGCACACCGCACUCUAUCUCACCUUCUGUGGAUCAGGCUACGAAGAACCACUCUAUUUGCAGCAUUGCAAGGAAUCAGUUUCUAGGUCUCCAACAUUGUUUUAUUAAUGAAAACCAAAAAGUUCAAAACUGUGCCAAUUAGGAAAUCUUAACAGGCUUUGCCUUAUUCUUCAGAUCUGUGGUAGGUCAUGUAUGGAAGAAUAUUGUUUCAUGCAAUUAUAAAUUAAUGAGGAGUAUGUUACUAGUGACAAUGGACUCUUUGUGGCUUAUGGUUUAAUGAUGAGUACUUUGAAAAGAAGACUUUGUGCUCUCAGGGUAAUUUAUGUUAGAACAGGAGCAUCUGUAAACUGCAGGUGUCUCAUUAAAUUCUGCUGGUGAUUAGAAGAAGCAGCCAUGUGCAGAGAUGUUCAUCAGGGGCUCCAUGAUUUGUGUUGUCAUGCCUGUUUUUUUUCCUGAUAGCUACACACUACUUAGCGUUGUUGCUCAGCUGCUAUGAGCAGAACUCUGCAAAAAUAGCAGGUUUCCAUUCAGAAGUGAAUGGCAUUGGGCCAACUAUUGAUUUAUGGACUGACAUAUACCCCUGCAUAAUGACUGCAAGAACGUUUGGUACGUACCUGCUACCUUUCUUCUGGAGUACAUUAAAAAUAAUUUUCCACUUGAUAAACGGAGUCAUACAGCAUGAUAUUUUUACUGGUCAUUUUCAUGGAGUGAGCUGCAAAGUGUGGCUUUAUACAGAGACACUGUAGAGAGGGAGGCUGAGAAAGUUUGUCUGUAUUCCCAGUUCUGAUUAAAUAGUUUGGCCUGAAGACAAGAUGGAUAUGUGCCCAUUUCUUCCCACCCCUGAUCUGAGAUUGAAACUUGGUAUAAUGCUUAAAUAUAUAUAUAUAUCUGCCUUUAAAAAUAAUUAUUUGGGAGAUAAAGUUAUAACAUUCAAACUUUUAACAGUAGUGGUACAUUAUUUAGAAUCCUCCUUUGUCUUAUUCAUCUCAACAGCUAUAUGACAUUUAUUUUAUAAUAUCCACAGAGUUUCUUUCAUAAUUCGCUGCUAGCUACAUCUUUUAAAGGCAACUAUCUUUUAAAAUCUUUGCACCUCCUUUGUUUGUGUGGUCCCUUUUUUUCCCCUUUAUCUUCCAGUUCAAUCUAGAAUAGACAAGGAGUGGUGGGACUCUCUCAGUGGUGAGGUUCUCUUUGGGAGGAUGUAUUUAAGUGACACCAAAGGGCACCAAACUCCUAGGCUUGAUUCUGAUUUAUUUUUUUUUUUUUUUGGUAUGCUGAGGUCUUGCAGUGAAUGUAGAUUAUAUUGACACCCACUUCUGAUCCUGUAGGUCUUUUAUAGAGCAGUGAAAAGGGGUCUAAAUGUGAGAACGAAUUCAAGCAUUGCAUUUUACUCCUGUCUUGCACAGCACCUAUCACAACAAAGCCUUUAUCCACUUAGCUCAAAAGAAACAAGAAAAUAUUUUUAAAAAGUGUUUAUUGUCUUAGAAGUUCAGAUGGAGAACUUAUUACAUAGAGACCAAAUAUGUGCUUUUGGCUCCCCCCAUGUAAACCACAUCCACAGAUGCAAGAAACAUUUAGUUUUUUUUGAGUAAUAGUAGUUAAGAAAGGCCAUUGUGUUUUUUCUGAUUUUAAACUGUAUGAUCAACAUUGUAGAAAAGGCUGUAUGCAGGCACUGGGGCGUGGAGAUGACCCGAUCCAAUCUCUCACUCAAAUAUGCCCACUUAGAGCAGAAUUCCUGGGGUCUUGUCCUUUUGCAUUUGAGUAUCUCCAAAGACAGAGAACCCAUGACUUCUUCUUUGGGACCCUGUUCCAGUACUUGAACUUCUUCAAAAUAUUUUUCUUCAUGUUAGGCUGGAAUUUCCCAUGUUCUGCAUUGUGUUGUUGCCUUUGUUUGCUCACCACAUGCUUCUGAGAAGAGUCUGGCCCCAUUUCCUGCAUGUUCCAUUUAACUGCAGACUGAAGUCGCCUCUGAAGGCUAAAGAAGCCCAAUUCUCUCAUAAAAAUAUUCUCCAUUCUUAAGCAAGAGCAAAGCUGGAUUUGUUUUGUACAACUUUCUUCUGAUGAAAAGAUGUUGUUAUCUUCUUUUAAUAGCCCUUCAUAGUUCCAGAAAUGUCCACAGAUGCAUACAAAUACCAAUUAAAAACCUAUGCCUAUGGAUUCAGCAUUGCUCCAACUCUGCUCUGCACUCCAGCAUAAGUGCUGCUUGAGAACACGUCCUCAGGGAAGCCAGCUUAAGUAUUUAGUGCUGUGGAACUGUACACUCCAGCUACCAGAUGCCCAGGCAGGUGUAGGGAACCUUUUUUGGCAGGGGGGUUGGACUCAGUGAUCUCUGGAGGUCCCUUCCAACCCAUACAAUUCUGUGAUUCUGUGUGUGUGCCUGGGAUGAAAUCCUUCUUCCAUCCAGAGUCAGCAUCUUAUCUGGCUUUGCAAGGUCCUGGACUUCAAAUGAGACAGUGCUAUGGUGCUUUGCUGCCUGAAAUAUGAAAGGAGGGAAGCCCAAUAAAUCCUUUCACUUCCUUCACACUUUCCAGAGAAAAAAAGUCUUAUUUCAUAGAGAGUAUUCAGACAACUCUUAUCUGUUUCCUACAUUGAAAAGCAGAUGGUAUUAAAUUUACUUUUACAAACUUCCCGCAGUAGGCUAUACUGGGACAGCAGGCCUUUUUCAACAACAUGUAUAUCAGACUUCCAAAAUCCCAGAGCUAUGGGAAUAGGGUGAAGUCAACCUAUAUUUGGAAUUAAUAUUUGUUUUAUUUCACUGCCCUUCUGGACAUGAAUAUGGUGUUGCCCUGAGAUGUCAGCUUCAGCCAGGCAAUCUGCAUUGGAGGAGCAUCAGUGAAUGAUGGCAAUAGCAUGAGCCAAGUGCCCCACCACUGUGCCAGGGCUUGGAUAGGGCCUGCAGCCAGGAGGGGUCCUUUCAGCCUCUGCUCUGCCUUCUUUCUUGGACAUACAAGAAUGCCAGUUGGUGAAAGUUAUGAAAGAAACUAUCAUCACAGAAUCAUAGAAUCAUGGAGUAUCCUGAGUUGGAAGGGACUGACAAGGAUCAUCCACUCCAAUUCCCAGUGGAUACACCUCAGGACUGAGAACUGGUUAAAUAUUCAUGCAUUAGCAGCCUACUAAGACCCCAAAGGUGGUCAUAUUUCCUAGUGAACUUGCUCUUAAGAACAGGGAGAGUUAGUACUCAUAAUUUCUUGCCUGUCAGCACUAUCCAGACCUUCUUUUCACUUUCAGUCAAAGACUCAAAUACUUUGUGUUCUUCAUUUUACCUCUUCUACAUUCAAAGUUUUUUUUAAGAUUUAUUAGUGCCUUGGGGUGACUCUGGGCAAUGAUACCAAGAAAGCCUUGAGGGGAGCCAGCCUGACAGAAGGAGCUGUACUGCACAUCCCAAACACCAGCGCACAGCUUUCCUCUAACUUUAUAGAUCACCAAGCCAAGGACCACCCUCUUACCAAGUGGGUGACAAAAUGACAGGGCACUCAACUUCAAUAGCUCUACCUGUCAGUGAGUGACAUAAGAGGCGGAGAUGGGCGAUCUGCUGUCCUGAACUAUCAGGAGUGCCUCAUCUACCUGCUCAUCUCUCCAGGUAGUGAAGAGAAGAAGCAGGAGCUAUGUCCUGUUGUUCCCUGCCUCUUCCUAAAGCUGGGAGGAAGCAGCUGCAGUAUGGGUGGGUCUGCAGCCCUUUUGCCAACAUACCAGCUGCCAAUGCUGAGCCAAUGUGCAUGACAGUGACUGUGAUGGAUGUUGCUGAUGUACUCAGAGAGCACCUUUGGACUGAUUCUGAGUCAGUGCAGCUGAGCUUGGGCUACAGUGAAAUGUCUGUGUUCUCACAUACAUUAAAUGAAUAUAUAGCUCACAUUACUCCCCCCUCUGCCUACUUAAAAUGCCAGGAGCUUCUGCUGUUUCGCUGACAUGAAUCAAGAGUGAACACCAAAAUGUCAAUGAGUCAGGCUGUUGUAAAUUGUGAUCCAGCUGGAGCCCUAAAGUAUGCCUAAUAUCAUAUGUGAAUUAAUCUAAGUACAUAUACAAGGGAAAACAAACACAAAAAGAAUGAGGCAGAUCCCUGCUACUUUGCAGAUUCCUACUGCAGACAUUUCAGUGGUACUCAUCACUUUGUUGGCUGAGUCUUGGCUUCACUUCUUUGGUUUAAAGAGAUAUCUACUGAAAUGGCAGUUAUGCAGUAUACUUGCAUUAACUAAUGCUUCUUCAGCAAUAUUGCUUUGGCUGAUACAUUACUGUUCAUCUGACAUUUUCUAAGAGCUGGAGAUGUGAGUUUGAUCCAUCAAAUUUAACUCUUCAAUCACAUAAGAAAUCUUAGUGAAAUCAAUGGGUAAAGAUGUGGAAUUUGAUUAAGCAUUUCAUUAAGUCUUCAUUAUUCCUGCGCAGUGUGUGAUGUUCAUUCAUAUUACUAAUUCAUCUUGCAUUUGCCCAAUUUGUACAGAAUAUAGUGGGAAAAAUAAAAAUGCUGUGUACUUGGACUUGAUCCUCAUGGGUCUUUUCCAACAUAGGAUAUCCUACGAUUCCAUUAUUCAGUGAACAUUUACAUAAAGUUACAGUUCAUCAAGCAGAUGCAUGAACAUUCAUGUGCACACCUGCUGUGUUUAUUCCACAAACAGUUUAAUAGGAUGACUAAAGGAAAGCCUCUGGAUGUAUGUUUGUAAGGGUUAUUUUUUCUUCUUCCAUGCUCUAGACUGGAGCUGUAGUGUUAAUCCAUGUGAAAGCAUAUCUGAACCUGAGUUUGGCAUUUAUUUGUAAUCUAGAAUCAGAUACUAUUUGUAUAAGUACAUUUGCUCAGUCUGAAGAGAAAGCUCCAGGGGAGACCUGAUAGGGGCCUUUCAGUAUCUAAAGAAGGAGCUGUAAGAUAGAAGGGAACAGACUCUUUGGCAGGGUCUGUGGUGACAGGACAAGGGGAAAUGGUUUCAAACUGAAAGAGGGGAGAAUUUAGACUGAAUAUAAGGAAGAAACUUUACAAUAAGGGUAGUGAAGCACUGGCACAGGUUGCCCAGAGAUGUGGUGGGUGCCUCAUCCCUGGAGACACUAAAAGUCAGGCUGGACGGGGCUCUGAGCAACCAGAUGUAGCUGUAGGUGUCCCUGUUCACUGCAGUUGGAGUCAGACUGGGUGAUCCUUAAGUGUACCUUCCAGCUCAAAUGAAACUACGAUUCUAUGAUAAAAGCUAGAUUUUGAAUACUGGAGUAACAACAUGGAUAUUUACUCACCUGCUAUAUAUUCGGUUGUAUGGGAACUGCUGAAUCAUGGCCUGAACCUCUGAUUGAUCACCUGAGGCGAGCAAUGAGUCAGCCAUGGGAGCACAGGUGAAGGUGAUUCUUCUGGAGAUCCGUCCUUUGGAGUUUUACAGCAAGCCAAGCAUAAGGUUGCUUGUCCAGAUAUGGAAACUGAUACUAGAAGCAUCAGAUUUUGAUGUCACAGUCUUGUACUCAUUACAAGCUGAAUUUCAUCACCUUCCAACCCAACUGCAUACCACAUUGUGAUCUGCCAAAAGAAAUGCCUAAUAACUUGGAGUGUGCACUCAGAUGCUAUCUGAACAGGAAUGCAAAUGAUGUGCUGAACAUCGAUGGAGAAUACAGGAAAAUAAAGAAGGAAAUCAGACUAAGCCUGUGACUUUACCAUUGCAGAGAGGAGCACUAUGAUGCACAGAAGUACCCACAAGUGGCAUGGCUUCUCCAGACCUCCCAUUGCAUUUGGUAGUAAAACAGAUGCUCUAGCGUGUGUUCACAUGCAGCUACAUCCUGGCAUAACUGAAAAAGAUAGGUAAAGCCUGCUUUGAAGAACUUCUGUCCUAUUCCAUUCUGCUUAAGUAUUGGCAUGCUUUUCUCAGUUUCUUGCCAUAGUUACCCACCCAUUCCCUGUUCAGCUGCUGUACUGCACCUGAAUAAACAAUGUAAGUGAAGGGAAGGUGAAGGGGAAUCACUCUAAUUGCUCUUAAUGACUAUAAGUUUAGGUUAUGUUUCUCAAGUGCUCUGAAGACUUGAGUGUUUGUGAGUUCUGAUAACAGCCUACAAGUUCCUGAGAACCCUUUAUAUUCACUCAAAGUGCAGAAACUCCAUCAAUGUCACCACAAAUUGCAAGUCUGGUUCAAACACUACACAGGGGCUCCAAUCCAUACAUGCAGUUCCCACUGAAAUCGGCAGAAUUCCCAUCUGCAGAAUGAAUGCAAGAUAUUUUCAACAACAUGAUGGUGUGCUAUAUCACCACUUAGAAAAAUGUACAGCUAUUCACCUUUGAGUUAUAGUCGUAUAAUGAAAAAUCAAACAGUAACAGUACCAAGGGUUUUCAUGUCACCAUCCUGGAAUCAUUUCCAUAUGGGACAGGCUGAAGACUAAAGCAGAAAGAUGGGUAUGUUUGUAUGCAGGGAGUUCCCUUGUGUCAGAUCAGAAGAUUCAGCUUUAGUGUUCCUUUCAGCAUCGCUACCAGAGAUAAUUACCAUGACUCAAGUUACAGCUUCAUUAAAAGCUUCCCAGAUCUCCUCGCCUUCAGGAGGCAUCCAUCAUCACAUCCAAAGGAUACGACCCUGUCAGUGUCAAUACGUUUGAGCAGGUGAAACAAAUCAGAACUGAAUAAAUAGUCCUGAAAACAAUCAGCAGGAUCUAGUGCUCUGAAGUAGCUGCAUGAAUUACAAAGAGGAAAAGCAGUGAAGAAGUUCCCAUGUCACUUUUAAAUGUUUGUUUUGCAAAAACUUGGCGGGAAAAUGCAUGAGAAGGGAACUGUCAUUUUUUACGCUGCCACUUUCAGAUUAAAAUUUAACCUCAAAUAUCCACAACUCAGCCCCAAAGCCCCAGCUUACCGUAAGAUCAUGCCUGAUAGCAAAGUUUUCUGGCUUGAUGUCACACAGGUGUAGGCGAUGAGAGAAAUCAUUAUCAAAAUGUUGCACCAUAUCCAGAAAGCUGAGUGCAAUGUCAA